GGCCGCCGUCCCUUCCGGGGAGCGGGGAGCCGCCGCCGCGUCCGCCGAGCGGUUCCCACCCCGCCCCCCGCAGCUCUGGGUGACGCGUCUCCAAUAACAGCUCGCCGGGAGCCGCAGCUCGAGCACAGCCGGCGGCCGCACCCCGCCGCCACGAUGAGGGCCGAGGGCCUCGGCGGCCUGGAGCGCUUCUGCAGCCCAGGCAAGGGCCGGGGGCUGCGGGCUCUGCAGCCCUUCCAGGUGGGGGACUUGCUGUUCUCCUGCCCGGCCUAUGCCUACGUGCUCACGGUCAACGAGCGGGGCAACCACUGCGAGUACUGCUUCGCCAGGAAAGAAGGAUUGUCCAAAUGUGGAAGAUGCAAGCAGGCAUUUUACUGCAAUGUGGAGUGUCAGAAAGAAGAUUGGCCCAUGCACAAGCUGGAAUGUUCUCCCAUGGUUGUUUUUGGGGAAAACUGGAAUCCCUCAGAGACUGUAAGACUAACAGCAAGGAUUCUGGCCAAACAGAAGAUCCACCCAGAGAGAACACCUUCAGAAAAAUUGUUAGCUGUGAAGGAGUUUGAAUCACAUCUGGAUAAGUUAGACAAUGAGAAGAAGGAUUUGAUUCAGAGUGACAUAGCUGCCCUCCAUCACUUUUACUCCAAGCAUCUCGAAUUCCCUGACAAUGAUAGCCUCAUAGUACUCUUUGCACAGGUUAACUGUAAUGGCUUCACAAUUGAAGAUGAAGAACUUUCUCAUUUGGGAUCAGCGAUAUUUCCUGACGUUGCAUUGAUGAAUCAUAGCUGUUGCCCCAAUGUCAUUGUGACCUACAAAGGGACCCUGGCAGAAGUCAGAGCUGUACAGGAAAUCGAGCCGGGAGAGGAGGUUUUUACCAGCUAUAUUGAUCUCCUGUACCCAACGGAAGAUAGAAAUGACAGGUUAAGAGAUUCUUAUUUCUUUACCUGUGAGUGCCAGGAGUGCACCACCAAGGACAAGGAUAAGGCCAAGGUGGAAAUCCGGAAGCUCAGCGAUCCCCCAAAGGCAGAAGUCAUCCGAGACAUGGUCAGAUAUGCACGCAACGUCAUUGAAGAGUUCCGGAGGGCCAAGCACUAUAAAUCCCCUAGUGAGCUGCUGGAGAUCUGCGAGCUCAGCCAGGAGAAGAUGAGCUCCGUGUUUGAGGACAGUAAUGUGUACAUGUUGCACAUGAUGUACCAGGCCAUGGGUGUCUGUUUGUACAUGCAGGACUGGGAAGGAGCCCUGCAAUACGGACAGAAAAUCAUUAAGCCCUACAGGUGAUUAUAGAGGCUGUUCUAAUCAUCCACAGAGUGGAAUUUGGUUGUUUAGAAUGCAUACGAUAGUGUCGUCUUCCUGCCCAUUGCUGAGACUUGCCUAGCACAGCUGCCUGUUCUCUGCACCCACAUCUGGAGGUGCUGGUGCAGGGCACUGCUCCCGAGUCAGGCUUGUUCUCGCCACCAUCCCAAGGAGACAGGUUGAGGUUAUGCAGCAGAUACCGGGGCAAGAUCCCUCCCAGAUCCAUCCAGGGCCAUAUCCAUAGUAGUUAACUCAGGCUAACUUUGAGAAGCCACUAGUUUGCUUCUUUUCCCACCCACCACUUCCAAGUUUAAUUGCUAAGUGGUGGUCUCAUAAACCCUGCUUUUCAUCGUUACUCACACCAUCCCCUUCUUUUGCUUUUUCAAAUUACAGCCCCAGUUUGCAAAUGGGGAAGCUCUGGGACCAGUGGGUUGACCGUGGUUAUCUAAUCUCCCCACCCCGGGUUUGGAAAAAAGAAAAAAAAAUUGCUUUUUAAUUUGUAGUAAUAAUGAAUAUUAGCCAUGGAAAGAUUUCCUGCCUGAGAGGGUUACUAAACCUAAAAGUGGGUGACAGAUGGAAGUUGUGGCUUUGUCCUCUGACUCGGACUAGACACUUCAGGGCUGAGGUGGCCUAGAUGGGAUCACUGGAGCUCUUUUUGAAGGCAUUGAUGUUAUGCAUUUACAGGGUACGUCCAACACCAAGUGGCCCAAGUGAAUCAGGGUUGCUGGGCACUAGACCCAGAAAUCUGUGUUCCGGAAGCAUGCCAGGUGUUUCUCAGGAGUUUGAGAAGCCCUCAGUCUCCUUCCACUUCCAAGAUUAGGGUUUGUGAAGGUUGUGUCUGGUCUGAAUGUCCACUGCCCACUCCACCCUCUACUUACCCCACUGUGCCCUGAUUAGCCAGCAGGGGGAGCCCAAAGGAAGCCAGCUCUUAAAAUCUGCUCUUGGAAACAGAAUUUGUUAAAUUAGGGAUAAACUCAAACCUUCCCUUUCUCCUGGAGUGUGUGAGGAAGUCCACUGGCCUCAUGCACAGUUCUCUGUGUGAGAUCUGUAGGGAGAGAGGAGCAGACAGACAGCAUCCCAGCCCUGUGGUUCUCCCAGCAGGGCCUUGCUAUGCUAGACCCAUCUUUAUCUGCGUGAGCCCCUCCCGGAAGCCCAGCUCUGGUCUUCUGUGGGGCCAUGGGUCCCAGGGCUGCUUCCUGCCCAGGAAUACAGCUAGAACAUGUCUUUUUGGACUGACUUUCAGGAGACACAGGGUGGAACAGCCUAGCCUUUAAAUAAACACCUCUUACACACACGUAAACACAUACACUGGCUCACCCACCAGCUGCCUCUGGGCCCUGUUCUUAGGGAAAUGGCUGUUUCCCAGGCAGACCCCAUCAGUCAGCCUUCAGGUACAGCCAGAGAGAACACCUGCUGUAUCUAAAGCCCCUGCUGGACAACGGGGAAAGAACAUCCAGAAGACGCAGGAAGUGUUCUGACUUCAGAGCACUUACAGUUUUGCUAAACCAACCCAUAUCAUAGUGUGACAGAAAGCUGGGGUCUUAAGACACAUUGGGGUGGGUGGGGUUUUGGUGGGUGGAUGUGUGUCUGAGUACCGAAGGUGAUAGGCCUAAUUGCUGCCUUCAUAAAUGGGACAUUUACUUCACAAGCUGUUUUCCCAGGGUCUUCCUCUGGGUAUAUCUGAAAUAGAAAAAUCUGGACUGGGAUUGAAGGUUGUAUUUACAAAUGCUUUUGAAUAGAAUUUCUCCUGCAGUUGUUAUGUAGCUUUUCAGAAACACACAAACUACAAAUAAUGAACAACGUCUGCAAUGAUUCGGCAGGGUGGCGGCAUCCACACUCUUCACCCAAACCCUGGUGGGAUUUGAAGAGGCCACUGGUGGGCAGAGGUUGGCCCUAAGCAUGGCAGCCUCUGGCUUACUGCGCCCAACCUGUGGGGCGGCUCAGUAGCCACUGACAUGGUGGCCUGUUGUCUCUUCUCUUGUUCUAGUAAGCACUAUCCUUUGUACUCCCUCAACGUGGCCUCCAUGUGGUUGAAGCUAGGGAGACUCUACAUGGGCCUGGAACACAAAGCCGCAGGGGAGAAAGCCCUGAAGAAGGCCAUUGCAAUCAUGGAAGUAGCUCACGGCAAAGAUCAUCCAUAUAUUUCUGAGAUCAAACAGGAAAUUGAAAGCCACUGAAGCUAUGCAGCAUUUCAGUUUUCAUUUAAACACUUAGUUCAGAAACCUUAAAGGAUUUGAAUAUUCCAAAUUGCACACAUCACUCCAGCAUCUCUGUAAAAUAAUUGGAAUGAAAAUACUUCUUGCACUUAAACAUUGCACAUGCCAUACUUUGAGGUUAGUCUGAAUCUUGAACUUUACUCCCAAAUUAAUUUUGAAUGCUUUUGUUUCCUAAGAGAUAAUGGCAUGGUUUCAUAUGUUAUACUUUGGACAGACAGAGUUUUAAAAAUGGAAUUAUUUUUUCUUUCAUGCCUCUUGUAAUGUUCUGAACAAACUUGAAUGAUGAAAGAAAAUAAAAGAGAUAUCAAUCAGUA
rnacentral:sRNA from 1 species